rnacentral:rRNA from 1 species
UACAGAGACUGCGAGCGUAUUCGGAUUCACUGGGCGUAAAGGGUGCGCAGGCGGCCGAGUGUGUGAGGCGUGAAAAGCCCGGGGCUUAACCCCGGAAUUGCACCUCAAACUACACGGCUAGAGCAUUGGAGAGGGUAGCAGAAUUCACGGUGUAGCAGUGAAAUGCGUAGAUAUCGUGAGGAAUACCAGAGGCGAAGGCGGCUACCUGGACAAUUGCUGACGCUCAGGCACGAAAGCGUGGGGAGCAAAAGGG